UACGUAGGUGGCAAGCGUUGUUCGGAAUUAUUGGGCGUAAAGGGCGCGUAGGCGGUUUGUUAAGUCGGCUGUGAAAGCCCGGGGCUCAACCCCGGAGGGUCAGCCGAUACUGGCAGACUAGAGUACGGAAGAGGUAGCUGGAAUUCCCAGUGUAGCGGUGAAAUGCGUAGAUAUCGGGAGGAACACCUGAGGCGAAGGCGGGCUACUGGGCCGAUACUGACGCUGAUGGCGCGAAAGCCAGGGGAGCAAACGGG
rnacentral:rRNA from 1 species